GACGAACGCUGGCGGCGUGCUUAACACAUGCAAGUCGAACGAGUGGCGAACGGGUGAGUAACGCGUAGGUAACUACCUAUUAGAGGGGGAUAACUAUUGGAAACGAUAGCUAAUACCGCAUAAUAGUAGAUGGACCUGCGUUGUAUUAGCUAGUAGGUAGGGUAAUGGCCUACCUAGGCAACGAUACAUAGCAGACCUGAGAGGGGGAUCGGCCACAAUGGGACUGAGACACGGCCCAGAGUCCGACGGGAGGAAGCAGUAGGGAAUCUGCGGCAAUGGGGGGAACCCUGACCGAGCAACGCCGCGUGAGUGAAGAAGGUUUUCGGAUCGUAAAGCUCUGUUGUUAAUGAAGCGGUACUUAACCAGAAAGGGACGGCUAACUACGUGCCAGCAGCCGCGGUAAUAC
rnacentral:rRNA from 1 species